rnacentral:sRNA from 1 species
GUUAUUGGGUCGUGUCUUUCAAUCUUGUCCGGUCUUGAGCCGUUUUGGUUCCCGAUUCGAGAAAACCGGUUCACGAACUUCAUGAAUCUAUAUAUCUAUAUAUACAUUUUUGGAGGGGAUUUUUGAAGAUAAUGUUGAAGAUUUGAGCCAUAAUUCAACAAUUAAUUCAAAUGGGUGAAUUUUACCCGGUUUAACUCUGUUCGGAUCCUGGAUAACAUGUUUAAUUCUGUUCUGAUCUGGAUAACAUUAAUUUUUGGAAAAGUUAUCUAAAAACUAAUAAUUAAAAACGAAAAUUAAUGAUUUAAUUACCAAAUUUAAUAUAAAUAAUAUCUCUAAACUAACCAUAUUUCUUAUUUACCUUAACUAAUUUCCUAAAAUAUUUCUACCUAAUUUAAACAUAAAUAUAUAAUUCUUCUUUCAAUUUUAUUUGAUCUUAUACUUUAUUUAUUUUGAAUUUAUAUAAAAUAUAUAUAGUUAAUAAAAUAUUAUAUUUUUUUCUGAAUAUGAUGUAAUUCAAAUUUUUUAAAACGGACAUAUAUUAUUCAACCUAUGAAGAAAUAAUAUGUGUACAAUGUCCCACAUCGCUUAGAAAAAUUGGACAAUGGUUCAGACCCAUAUUAUAAAAGGACCAAAAUAAUUCUGAUUACGAAUGAGCAGGAACCUUGAUUUAUCAGGCGUCCAAAAUUAAAAUAGUUAUCCGAUUUUACUCGCA